rnacentral:lncRNA from 1 species
GGCGAGGUUAUCGAAGAAGAUGAGUUUUCGCUGGAAGAGCUUAUGGGAGGCGAAGAUGAGACAGUAACUAAAGAUGAGCUAUGAAGAAGUCGGAAGACAUAGUUAAAGGAGAGUGGAUGAUUUUUGAUGUGUUAAUUAGGACACUUGGUGGUGGUUGGUUUAUAAAUUAAAUGAGACUUUGUUUCCUUCAUGGUCGACGGGGUGGGUGUGUUUAUUUACCACUUUCUUGUGCUUACCUUUGUCCCUUCCCUUAACAUCGACUCCUAAGUCUCGGAUGCGACCAUAACUCAUAGUGUUCCAAUUCUAAUCAAUUAUCUUUAGACUUUUUUAUUUACUAC